UUCAGCUUGGAGGGCAACUUUGUCAUUCAAUAAUUUAUUGAACACAACUCUCAAAUUAAGCAUGGACAAUUUUGUAAAAAUGCAAAUCAUUUCUCUUGGAUUCAAUCUGAGCCGUUCAUUUCAUCUGCAGUCUUUUGGCCUUCUGAAACGUGAUUUAUCAUUCUUAAACGUUUUCUUUCUCAUUCGUAUAACUAAUGCGAUUUCUCUUAAACUCACCACCAGCCCACCACCAUUGAAGAGAUUCAACCAGAAUCCAGACGUCGAUAUCCAGCAUAACGUGUUCUGCCGUCGACUUUAAAGGCACGCACGACAACGCAAUUGGCAUCCCAGUGCAGAGGUUGUGUGGCUAGGAAUGGCGUGUACCCGAAGGAAAUCCACCAGGGCUGCAAGGAGUUCGAUGAGUAUGGAAUUCGUUGUGAUAUUUAACGCGAGAGAUUGGUUCAAGCACAACCUGUACAUCCAAGUUGAGUGAAUUGUUGAAUGUACCCUACUUUUCUACCAGAGGUCUAAAUGAGUGCUUAUGUAUGGCUUGGUCUUACAACUUUUACUCACAAGAAGCGUGGUUCCUCCGAGCUUAUAUGACUACAAUCUUGCACCACUGAAUAGGAUGUUGUUCUGCCUGACUCGAAGAAGAAGAAAAGGCUGAUGCAUCUUCCUUACGUGUUCAGGGGUCCUGAGGGUGAUCGAGCAUUUUGCUAUUAUGCCAAUAGCUUAAAGGUGGAACAUCUUAGAAACUAUUUCUUCACUUGCUUUGUGUUCAAGUGACACAUUGUGUAUGGUUACCUUUUCCUCUAGUUUUUUUUUUUUUAAAUUUAACGAAGCAUUAUAUUUUUUUGACUCACUCUUAUCAUGUGCUUGAGUUUUAUGCUAGCUGCAUAAGGAGAAAAUACAAUAUGUCAUAU